rnacentral:hammerhead_ribozyme from 1 species
AUCCAGAUGACGAGUUCCAAAUAGGACGAAAUUCACAUCCUGGAU